GCUUUAGCUCGGCCGGUAGAGCACGGGACUCUUAAUCUCAGGGUUGUGGGUUCAAGACCCACAUUGGGCA